ACUUUACAAUGCGGGAAACCGUGAUAAGGGAACUCCGAGUGUCCGUAAAUGCGGACUGUCCGUAUGUUUAAAAAGCAUGCGAAGAAAGGGCCGGGCAAGACCGGUGCCAGCCGCCGCGGUAAUACCGGCGGCUCGAGUGGUGGCCACUAUUACUGGGCUUAAAGCGUUCGUAGCUGGGUUGUUAAGUCUCUUGGGAAAUCUACCGGCUUAACCGAUAGGCGUCCAAGGGAUACUGGCAUUCUAGGGACCGGGAGAGGUGAGGGGUACUUCAGGGGUAGGAGUGAAAUCUUGUAAUCCCUGGGGGACCACCUGUGGCGAAGGCGCCUCACCAGAACGGCUCCGACAGUGAGGGACGAAAGCUGGGGGAGCAAACCGG
rnacentral:rRNA from 1 species